rnacentral:rRNA from 1 species
AGCGAACGCUGGCGGCAGGCUUAACACAUGCAAGUCGAACGGGCACCUUCGGGUGUCAGUGGCAGACGGGUGAGUAACACGUGGGAACGUGCCCUUUGGUUCGGAACAACUCCGGGAAACUGGAGCUAAUACCGGAUAAGCCCUUCGGGGAAGAUUAUGCCAAAGGAUCGGCCCGCGUCUGAUUAGCUAGUUGGUGAGGUAAUGGCUCACCAAGGCGACGAUCAGUAGCUGGUCNGAGAGGAUGAUCAGCCACACUGGGACUGAGACACGGCCCAGACUCCUACGGGAGGGCAGCAGUGGGGAAUAUUGGACAAUGGGCGAAAGCCUGAUCCAGCCAUGCCGCGUGAGUGAUGAA